rnacentral:rRNA from 1 species
UACGGUAGGGGGCAAGCGUUGUCCGGAAUCAUUGGGCGUAAAGCGCGUGUAGGCGGUUCGAUAAGUCUGCUGUGAAAGUCCAGGGCUCAACCCUGGGAUGCCGGUGGAUACUGUCGGACUAGAGUACGGAAGAGGCGAGUGGAAUUCCCGGUGUAGCGGUGAAAUGCGCAGAUAUCGGGAGGAACACCAAUUGCGAAGGCAGCUCGCUGGGACGUCACUGACGCUGAGACGCGAAAAGCGUGGGGAGCAAACAGGG